GACGAACGCUGGCGGCGUGCUUAACACAUGCAAGUCGAGCGAUGAAGCACCUUCGGGUGUGGAUUAGCGGCGAACGGGUGAGGAACACGUGAAGAAUCUGCCUUCAACUCUGGGAUAACUCCGGGAAACCGGGGCUAAUACCGGAUAUGAGCCUUGGCCGCAUGGCCGGGGCUGGAAAGUUUUUCGGUUGGAGAUGACUUCGCGGCCUAUCAGCUUGUUGGUGAGGUAAUGGCUCACCAAGGCGACGACGGGUAGCCGGACUGAGAGGGCGACCGGCCACACUGGGACCGAGACACGGCCCAUACUAAUACGGACGGCAGCAGUGGGGAAUAUUGGGCAAUGGAGGAAACUCUCACCCAGCGAAGCCGAGUGAGGGAUGAAGGCCUUCGGGUUGUAAACCUCUUUCAGUAGGGAAGAAGCGAAAGUGACGGUACCUACAGAAGAAGCACCGGCUAACUAUGUGCCAGCCGCCGCCGUAA
rnacentral:rRNA from 1 species